rnacentral:rRNA from 1 species
CCUACAGGAGGCAGCAGUAGGGAAUAUUGCUCAAUGGGGGAAACCCUGAAGCAGCAAAGCAGCGUGGAGGAUGAAGGUUUUCGGAUUGUAAACUUCUUUUGAUAGAGAAGUUAAAGACGGUAUCUAACGAAUAUGCUCCGUAUCACUUGGUGCAGGCAGGCGCGGUACUAUGGAGGGUGCAAGCGUUAUACGGAAUCACUGGGCGUUAAGCGCGCGUAGGCGGGAUAGCAAGUCAGAUGUGAAAUCCUAUGGCUUAACCAUAGAACUGCAUUUGAAACCGGUAUUCUAGAGUAUGUUGGAGGUAGGUGGAAUUCGUGGUGUAGGGGUAAAAUCCGUAGAGAUCAAGAGGAAUACUCAUUGCGAAGGCGACCUGCUAGAACAUUACUGACGCUGAUGCGCGAAAGCGUGGGGAGCAAACAGGAUUAGAUACCCUUGUAGUC